rnacentral:tRNA from 1 species
GCGCCGGUAGCUCAAUGGAGAGAGCAGGGGUUUCUCAACCCCCUUGUUGGGAGUUCGAUUCUCCCCCGGCGCA